rnacentral:rRNA from 1 species
UACGAGGGGAGCAAGCGUUGUUCGGAUUUAUUGGGUUUAAAGGGUGCGUAGGCGGCUUCUUAAGUCUGGGGUGAAAGCCCGUUGCUCAACAACGGAACUGCCCUGGAAACUGGGGAGCUUGAGUACAGACGAGGGCGGCGGAAUGGAUGCUGUAGCGGUGAAAUGCAUAGAUAGCAUCCAGAACCCCGAUUGCGAAGGCAGCUGCCUAGGCUGUAACUGACGCUGAGGCACGAAAGCGUGGGGAGCGAACAGG